rnacentral:rRNA from 1 species
GACGUAGGAGGCGAGCGUUGUCCGGAUUCAUUGGGCGUAAAGAGCGCGCAGGCGGCUUGGUAAGUCGGAUGUGAAAUCCCGAGGCUCAACCUCGGGUCUGCAUCCGAUACUGCCCGGCUAGAGGUAGGUAGGGGAGAUCGGAAUUCCUGGUGUAGCGGUGAAAUGCGCAGAUAUCAGGAGGAACACCGGUGGCGAAGGCGGAUCUCUGGGCCUUACCUGACGCUCAGGCGACGGAAAGCCAGGGGAGCGAACGGG